rnacentral:rRNA from 1 species
UACGAAGGGAGCUAGCGUUGUUCGGAAUCACUGGGCGUAAAGCGCACGUAGGCGGAUGUGUCAGUCAGGGGUGAAAAUCCCGGAGCUCAACUUCGGAACUGCCCUUUUGAUACAGCACAUCUGGAGUCCGGAAGAGGUGGGUGGAAUUCCUAGUGUAGAGGUGAAAAUUCGUAGAUAUUAGGAAGAACACCGUGGCGAAGGCGGCCCACUGGUCCGGUACUGACGCUGAGGUGCGAAAGCGUGGGGAGCAAACAGG